rnacentral:lncRNA from 1 species
UCUGUCGUAUAGCGAGGUUUGCUAUCACUUUAAAUUCUUCUCGUCUUGAGUCAUUCCAUCCUGUAUGUAAUUCAAACAGGUUUUUGUAUAAUUAUUUCUCUUAAUAAUUACCAUUAUACAAUUGCUAUAGCUGCCAGUUUUGUUUCUCUUUUCUGCCAGAGAAUAGGAGAAAUGCAUUACGCAUUUGUGUAACUUACGAUCUUUGAUUCAUGCUUAAAAUGCAUGGAAUAUUUUUCAUUUUCUGUUUGAGGCAGUACCUCAUCUGGGAUCACAUCUCACAGUGUAAGCUUACACUGUAUAAAUGGACUCCUUGUAUUGCAACUAGGUAUAAACUACAGUAAAAAAGCAAAGGAGGUCAAGAGAAUUGAAUUUCUUAAGGCGAUGGGGGCCAGUGAAUAUUAAUGGCUGCAGGUAGAGGCACGCUGCAUCUGGACAGUAAUGCAGAAAGCCUUUUUGUAUGGUCAUUUUUUUUUUCCCCUUUAAAAUAAAUUUGAUUUGACCAUCAUUAUAGCCCUUUGUUGUUGUCUUUUGAUGAGGAUUCUAGGAAAUUGGCUUGCUGGCAUGCAUGGCUUACUGGCAGGGAGAGCAAGCUGGAAUUUGCAAGCACAAGUGUUCCUACUAGAGAUCUAAUUCAAGAAGUUAUAUUCUCCAGUUGAGAGAAGAAAAAAGUUUUUUAGGGUUGAGGUUUUUUUGUGUAUGCUUUUCUUGUUUUUUUCUCCAGGGUAGAUGGGAGCAGGCACAGCAGCCUGAGGGAGAGAUGCAUGUGCUCAUCCCCAGCACACCUGGCUCCUUGCUGAUGUCUGCCUUGGAGCUGCCACUGGAGAAGAUAGGAAAUGAGCACGCAUGGAGCCCAAGGUACGUCUUCCUCAGGAGACCAAAUGUUAUCGUUUCUGCUGGAGGAAGAAAUAAAUUUAAUUAAUUUCCUCUUGUAUGCUGCAUGUAGAAGCGUUGGGACUGUAAAAAGACUGAAAAUCCGCUGCCUUCAGAUCUAACUCAUCAUCUGUUCCUACACGUGUUUUAAAGUAAAACAAACAUAUUAAAGAACCCAUCUCGAUUGACCUAAAUUACGAGAUGAAAAACCUCUAAAAUAAUAGACAAUUUCUGGGACCUGUGCAUUGUUUAGGUGCAAAAUGUCGACAAGAUCUGGCGAAAGAGAAGUGAAAGCUGAUCCUUU